CAGUAGCCGCGGGAAUACGUAGGGUGCGAGCGUUAAUCGGAAUUACUGGGCGUAAAGCGUGCGCAGGCGGUUUUGUAAGACAGGCGUGAAAUCCCCGGGCUUAACCUGGGAAUGGCGCUUGUGACUGCAAGGCUAGAGUACGUCAGAGGGGGGUAGAAUUCCACGUGUAGCAGUGAAAUGCGUAGAGAUGCGGAGGAAUACCGAUGGCGAAGGCAGCCCCCUGGGACGAGACUGACGCUCAUGCACGAAAGCGUGGGGAGCAAACAGGAUUAGAUACCCCCGUAGUCCCUGUCUCUUAUAA
rnacentral:rRNA from 1 species